rnacentral:rRNA from 1 species
ACGUUCAACCGCAAAACAAGCAGAGGGGGCUUAGUGGUGGGGUGACUGCGUACCUUUUGUAUAAUGGGUCAGCGACUUAUAUUCUGUAGCAAGGUUAACCGUAUAGGGGAGCCGGAGGGAAACCGAGUCUUAACCGGGCGUUAAGUUGCAGGGUAUAGACCCGAAACCCGGUGAUCUAGCCAUGGGCAGGUUGAAGGUUGGGUAACACUAACUGGAGGACCGAACCGACUAAUGUUGAAAAAUUAGCGGAUGACCUGUGGCUGGGGGUGAAAGGCCAAUCAAACCGGGAGAUAGCUGGUUCUCCCCGAAAGCUAUUUAGGUAGCGCCUCGUGAAUUCAUCUCCGGGGGUAGAGCACUGUUUCGGCUAGGGGGCCAUCCCGGCUUACCAACCCGAUGCAAACUGCGAAUACCGGAGAAUGUUAUCACGGGAGACACACGGCGGGUGCUAACGUCCGUCGUGAAGAGGGAAACAACCCAGACCGCCAGCUAAGGUCCCAAAGUCAUGGUUAAGUGGGAAACGAUGUGGGAAGGCCCAGACAGCCAGGAUGUUGGCUUAGAAGCAGCCAUCAUUUAAAGAAAGCGUAAUAGCUCACUGGUCGAGUCGGCCUGCGCGGAAGAUGUAACGGGGCUAAACCAUGCACCGAAGCUGCGGCAGCGACGCUUAUGCGUUGUUGGGUAGGGGAGCGUUCUGUAAGCCUGUGAAGGUGGCCUGUGAGGGUUGCUGGAGGUAUCAGAAGUGCGAAUGCUGACAUAAGUAACGAUAAAGCGGGUGAAAAGCCCGCUCGCCGGAAGACCAAGGGUUCCUGUCCAACGUUAAUCGGGGCAGGGUGAGUCGACCCCUAAGGCGAGGCCGAAAGGCGUAGUCGAUGGGAAACAGGUUAAUAUUCCUGUACUUGGUGUUACUGCGAAGGGGGGACGGAGAAGGCUAUGUUGGCCGGGCGACGGUUGUCCCGGUUUAAGCGUGUAGGUGUGUGUUCCAGGUAAAUCCGGUUCACUUUAACACUGAGGCGUGAUGACGAGGCACUACGGUGCUGAAGCAACAAAUGCCCUGCUUCCAGGAAAAGCCUCUAAGCAUCAGGUAACAUCAAAUCGUACCCCAAACCGACACAGGUGGUCAGGUAGAGAAUACCAAGGCGCUUGAGAGAACUCGGGUGAAGGAACUAGGCAAAAUGGUGCCGUAACUUCGGGAGAAGGCACGCUGACACGUAGGUGAAGUGAUUUACUCACGGAGCUGAAGUCAGUCGAAGAUACCAGCUGGCUGCAACUGUUUAUUAAAAACACAGCACUGUGCAAACACGAAAGUGGACGUAUACGGUGUGACGCCUGCCCGGUGCCGGAAGGUUAAUUGAUGGGGUCAGCGCAAGCGAAGCUCCUGAUCGAAGCCCCGGUAAACGGCGGCCGUAACUAUAACGGUCCUAAGGUAGCGAAAUUCCUUGUCGGGUAAGUUCCGACCUGCACGAAUGGCGUAAUGAUGGCCAGGCUGUCUCCACCCGAGACUCAGUGAAAUUGAACUCGCUGUGAAGAUGCAGUGUACCCGCGGCAAGACGGAAAGACCCCGUGAACCUUUACUAUAGCUUGACACUGAACAUUGAGCCUUGAUGUGUAGGAUAGGUGGGAGGCUUUGAAGUGUGGACGCCAGUCUGCAUGGAGCCGACCUUGAAAUACCACCCUUUAAUGUUUGAUGUUCUAACGUGGACCCGUAAUCCGGGUUGCGGACAGUGUCUGGUGGGUAGUUUGACUGGGGCGGUCUCCUCCUAAAGAGUAACGGAGGAGCACGAAGGUUGGCUAAUCCUGGUCGGACAUCAGGAGGUUAGUGCAAUGGCAUAAGCCAGCUUGACUGCGAGCGUGACGGCGCGAGCAGGUGCGAAAGCAGGUCAUAGUGAUCCGGUGGUUCUGAAUGGAAGGGCCAUCGCUCAACGGAUAAAAGGUACUCCGGGGAUAACAGGCUGAUACCGCCCAAGAGUUCAUAUCGACGGCGGUGUUUGGCACCUCGAUGUCGGCUCAUCACAUCCUGGGGCUGAAGUAGGUCCCAAGGGUAUGGCUGUUCGCCAUUUAAAGUGGUACGCGAGCUGGGUUUAGAACGUCGUGAGACAGUUCGGUCCCUAUCUGCCGUGGGCGCUGGAGAACUGAGGGGGGCUGCUCCUAGUACGAGAGGACCGGAGUGGACGCAUCACUGGUGUUCGGGUUGUCAUGCCAAUGGCACUGCCCGGUAGCUAAAUGCGGAAGAGAUAAGUGCUGAAAGCAUCUAAGCACGAAACUUGCCCCGA